rnacentral:misc_RNA from 1 species
GAAAUGCGAUAAGUAAUGUGAAUUGCAGAAUUCAGUGAAUCAUCGAAUCUUUGAACGCACCUUGCGCUCCUUGGUAUUCCUUGGAGCAUGCCUGUUUGAGUAUCAUGAAAUCUUCAAAGUAAAUCUUUUGUUAACUCAAUUGGUUUCUACUUUGGUAUUGGAGGUCUUUGCAGCUUCACACCUGCUCCUCUUUGUUCAUUAGCUGGAUCUCAGUGUUAUGCUUGGUUCCACUCGGCGUGAUAAGUUAUCUAUCGCUGAGGACACUGUAAAAGGUGGCCAAGGUAAAUGCAGAUGAACCGCUUCUAAUAGUCCAUUGACUUGGACAAUACUUUUAUGAUCUGAUCUCAAAUCAGGUAGGACUACGCGCUGAAGUUAAGC